UACAGAGGUCCCGAGCGUUGUUCGGAUUUACUGGGCGUAAAGGGUGCGUAGGCGGUGGGGUAAGUUUGAGGUGAAAGCUCCGGGCUCAACCCGGAAAAUGCCUUGAAAACUAUCCGGCUAGAGGGUUGGAGGGGAGACUGGAAUUCUCGGUGUAGCAGUGAAAUGCGUAGAUCUCGAGAGGAACACCAGUGGCGAAGGCGGGUCUCUGGACAACACCUGACGCUGAGGCACGAAAGCCAGGGGAGCAAACGGG
rnacentral:rRNA from 1 species